rnacentral:rRNA from 1 species
GACGAACGCUGGCGGCGUGCUUAACACAUGCAAGUCGAACGGAAAGGCCCUGCUUUUGUGGGGUGCUCGAGUGGCGAACGGGUGAGUAACACGUGAGUAACCUGCUCUUGACUUUGGGAUAACUUCAGGAAACUGGGGCUAAUACCGGAUAGGAGCUCCUGCUGCAUGGUGGGGGUUGGAAAGUUUCGGCGGUUGGGGAUGGACUCGCGGCUUAUCAGCUUGUUGGUGGGGUAGUGGCUUACCAAGGCUUUGACGGGUAGCCGGCCUGAGAGGGUGACCGGCCACAUUGGGACUGAGAUACGGCCCAGCCUCCUACGGGAGGCAGCAGUGGGGAAUAUUGCACAAUGGGCGGAAGCCUGAUGCAGCAACGCCGCGUGCGGGAUGACGGCCUUCGGGUUGUAAACCGCUUUCGCCUGUGACGAAGCGUGAGUGACGGUAAUGGGUAAAGAAGCACCGGCUAACUACGUG